CAGCUUCUGGUACCUAAAGGUGGUCUAAAGAAAGCUGGAGAGGAACUUUUUAAGGGACAUGUAGUGACAGGACAAGGGGAAAUGGCUUUAAGGUGAAAGAGGGUAGAUUUAGAUUAGACAUCAGGAAGAAGUUCUUUACUGUGAGGAUGGUGAGGCGCUGGCACAGGAUGCCCAGAGAAGCUGUGGCUGCCCCAUCCCUGGCAGUGUUCAAGGCCAGGUUGGAUUGGGCUUGGAGCAACUUGGUCUAAUGAAAGGUGUCCCUGCCCAUGGCAGCAGGGGGAUUGGAACUGGAUGACCUUUAAGGUUCCUUCCAACCCAAACCAUUCUGUGAUUCUGUGAUUCACAUGCAGCCUAUCAUAUCCUUGUUUAGAACCAAGUGUCCUUUCUACCACCAGUAUCAGCAGAACUAGAAUACAGGAAUGUAUAAUUGCGCUGGCAUUAUAGACAGGUUUACAUCAGUACAGAGUGAAUGAACAGGAGAUGCAAACCUAAUCUGCUUCAGUAACAAAGUUGACAUCUCCUUUUCAACAAAUCUAGGAGGCUGAAAGGUUACAUGUUUUUCUGGACUUUGCCAAAAAUUCACUAUCUGACCAAAAAAUUAUCUUACCCUUCUGUUUUCUUUGCUUACUUGUAAAUUAUGUACUUUGUCACCUAAUUCAGAGAGGUACUCUGAGAAUUUAGUGUUGUUGCAGAGCAAUUUAAGGCUGUCAAGUUAAAGAUGCCUUGUAAAUGCCAGGAAUUAUUGUUGAUCGAUGAGAGAAAAUACUCUUCUGCAUGGUUGCACUCAGUGGUCCAUGGCUGGUAAGUGAACUGUUUCACAUAUUGACCAGAGGUUUUAUCCAGCGCUACUUAACUAAGCAAGUCUAUAACAUUGGCUAAGUACUGCAUGCACUAGAAAAUGAUUUUAGAUUCCAAUCUGACAAAAGGAAGACACAGGUCACCAAUACCACGGACACACAGAUUUUCUUCCAUUUGUUUUGGCUUACAUUAAUUAGCUGUGAAAAAGGGGACAAGUUCUGGACACCUUUUAAUUUUCAGGCAAGCCAAAACACUGCUGAGCUGCGGAGUCAACAGCAGAAAUCUUAUGAUUCCCCAUUCUACAGCAUGAAUUUUACCUUUUCUAUCAAACUAUUAGGGAAAAAAAACCUUUGGAAGAGACAAGAUGUAUUUCUAGAACACACCCCCACAUGUGUAGUUCAGUACUAGGGAUGACUGUGCAGCUAUUUUAGCUCCUGUCUCCAUUAAACUGUGAAAUGUAGCAGUGAAAUUAAAAGCAUUUAACAUACAUGUCUUAGUAGCAGUUUUGUAUUAUGUUUUUGCCAUUUAAACUGAUUAAAACUGUGAAUAAACAAUAUUUUCCAUUGCAACUAAAUAUUGCAAUUAAAGCUAAGUAUUUGCUCUCCUGGCAAGGCAAAACUUAACAUGAACAUAUUGGAAUGUCUCAGUACAAAAAUAGGUGCUAAGUAAAAAAUACCCUAGCUAACCCUAAAAGAAUGAGUAUCUUUACAGAUCUGUGUUUGUCCUUCACUUUUCAUACGUAGUUUUCAUUAAUCCUGUUCUAAUUAAUACACCAUGAGAUGGAUUUGCCACCAUACUGAGUCCUCUCUGAAGUUUUCCCUUGCAUAGACACCCCCAAAAAUAUAACAAGGGGCUAAAAUACCUGGGAGCACCACAUUGUGUUCCUGUUCUCUGAGUAUUUACAGAGGAACUAUGAGUAAUUAUCUUCAUUAUUCACAAUCUACACUGCAUUUUCUAACCACAUUACUGUCUGAGUCUAGUGUUUUCUGUAUUGGAAAUGACAUCCAUCCAUCUAACUGUGUAUACCAAAACAAACGUAUGAAACAUGUCAUUCUGCUUGGGUUUACCCAGGUUCAUGUUUUUCUUUCUGCAUUCACUCCCAGAUGGAGAGCAUCCGGUUCUCACACAGUUUGGACCAGUUUUGGCAGCUAAAAACCGAUGAGUUUGGGUUACUGAACCCCACAGGUGGCCUCCCCUCCAGUCUGUUCCUGCUGCUGGGUUUUGAAAGCAUUUCCAUUACAUGUUUCUGCAGGGCUAACUACAGUGGUAACAGUUACCAUGUUCCUGAGUGUUUAAAUACGCACUUGGCUCAGAAACAUACCCUUUAUAGGCUGUGUAGGGUUUGCUUCUCUGAGAGUACCAGCAUCUUUUCAUUGUUCUAACAUCUGCCUGGUUGAAGCUCACUCUCUAAGCUAUGACAGCACAACUCAUAUACUGCACUGCCACCAAUGUCUCCCAUUUUUGGCUAUUGGAAGGAGACAGUGAAACUUGCUUCAGUAAUUUCAUUUUAAUCCCAUGCUGUAGGCCCUCAGCAUCUUUAGAAUCUCUUACUCACCAAAUCUUCUCUCAUAGCAGGAAACAACCAGAGAGAAAAUUCAGGUGAAACUAGUGAGCUGCUUUCCAUUAACAGGGAGAGAUUCACAAGUGACUUUUUCCAUCCAGUAUGAACAAAGCUGUGGAGAAUCAACUCUGUUGGUUCUUCAUCUUCUCCUUUGAUCCCGAAGUAUGUCAGCAGUCUGUAGUCUUGGCAAGUUUGCUACUUCACAGCAGCCAGCUGGUAGGACAUCUCCCGAAUGCUGAAACUGAGAAGUCUAGCCUGAUUCCUUCACAUGCUGUCCAUUUAAUUCAUUAAUACAUGUGUUCCUUAAAAUAUCUAUUUGAAGUGUGCACUAUAUGAAUUAAAUAUGUCAUGUGCAAUGCU